CGCACAUUGCACCUUUUGGUAUUCCGAAAGGUAUGCCUGUUCGAGCGUCAUUUCACCUCCUCAACUUCAUGUUGGUAUUGGAUCAAAAAGGUAAAACUUUUGAUCUCGAAAUGAAUGAUUAAGUAUUGAAACUUGAAUAUACGACGAGCUUUUUGCAUGUAUUGAAAAGAUUCUUUACUCGAUUCAACCCAAAAUUUUUUCCAGGUUGACCUCGAAUCAGGUAGGAUUACCCGCUGAACUUAA
rnacentral:misc_RNA from 1 species